rnacentral:rRNA from 1 species
AUUGAACGCUGGCGGCAGGCCUAACACAUGCAAGUCGAACGAGUGGCGGACGGGUGAGUAAUGUCUGGGAACCUGCCCGAUGGAGGGGGAUAACUACUGGAAACGGUAGCUAAUACCGCAUACCCUCGUAUGUGCCCAGAUGGGAUUAGCUAGUAGGUGGGGUAACGGCUCACCUAGGCGAAGAUCCCUAGCUGGUCUGAGAGGAAGACCAGCCAAACUGGGACUGAGACACGGUCCAGGCUCCUACGGGAGGCAGCAGUGGGGAAUAUUGCACAAUGGGCGCAAGCCUGAUGCAGCCAUGCCGCGUGUAUGAAGAAGGCCUUCGGGUUGUAAAGUACUUUCAGCGAGGAGGCGUUACUCGCAGAAGAAGCACCGGCUAACUCCGUGCCAGCCGCCGCGGUAAUUC